rnacentral:rRNA from 1 species
GUAGGCGGCAAGCGUUGUCCGGAAUUAUUGGGCGUAAAGCGCGCGCAGGCGGUUCUUUAAGUCUGAUGUGAAAGCCCACGGCUCAACCGUGGAGGGUCAUUGGAAACUGGAGAACUUGAGUACAGAAGAGGAAAGCGGAAUUCCACGUGUAGCGGUGAAAUGCGUAGAGAUGUGGAGGAACACCAGUGGCGAAGGCGGCUUUCUGGUCUGUAACUGACGCUGAGGCGCGAAAGCGUGGGGAGCAAACAGGGAUUAGAUACCCUGGUAGUCCACGCCGUAAACGAUGAGUGCUAAGUGUUAGGGGGGGUUCCGCCCCCUUAGUGCUGCAGCUAACGCAUUAAGCACUCCGCCUGGGGAGUACGGCCGCAAGGCUG